GAGCUGUGAAGAAAUUGGCAUAAGCGUAGGUUGGGUCCUUCGCACUCUUCUGAUUACCAGAUGUAAUAGCCACAAUGCUGAGCUC